UGACAGGCACUCACUACCAAACCCCCCCCCCAACUCAUGCUACCGCCACAAAUUCAAUCAAAUUAUGUGGGAAACACUGAAGAGCAUGUAGAAAUAAACCCACAGAGUUUAAAGUAGUGAUGAGACAACGACUCUUUUACGGAAGUCGGUUCAACCGGACGGUCGUUUGUUGGUCUACCGAGUUCGGUAUAUCAUAAAAAUCGCACGUUACUUCCCCCGCCAUAGUCGCUCCAAGACAUAUAGCCUCAAACUGCAAAUGUCCUGCUCUCCAUGUCAUUAGCGGACAUACACACUCAUAUUGACCGACACUAAACUCAAGCACUGACCAUGUUACAUUCGGUCUCGUGAGCCUACCUAAUAGCCUAUUCACUUCUAACAUUUAACCAAGAUAACAUCUUGUCAUAUAAUAUUUCAUGUCAUAUAAUAUUUCCGCCUAUGAAUUUCCAUGAACAAUUCUAAGAUGCACAAAACAUAAAGGCUUUUGGGAUCAGUUUAACUCAACUUACCGAGAACCUAGACACCCGUUUGAUUACUCAUGCAUUAGCACGGUUACGGUCUCGUAACCUGGUGCAGUCUCCUCGUGACAGCCUACCUACCAACAAACAUUUCAUUUAACAUAACUACCCAGAUAACAUGACAUUUAUUUGUAUUUUAUAUCCAUCGGUAAUGUAGCCUAUGAAUUUCUAUGUAGGCUACACAAUCACCUAAGAUGCACGAGAAAUAAAUAGGUUUCAGCGAUCGGUUGAUAACUCAAACUUGCGAUAACACCCGUUUGAUAAGACUCAUAGCCUAGGCCUACCCUCGGUUACGGUCUCGUUCAGUAAGUAGCCUACUAUGAAGCCAGCAACAUUCACCUCUCUAACAUUUAACUUUAUAACUACAAAGAUAACAUGACGUGUAUUUGUAGGCUAGUGAUCGCCUUCCCCAUCGAUAUGCGAAUGGCCAUGAACACAAUCAUCUAUGAUGCACUAAAAACAAGGCAUGGUUAAUAACUUGCCGCGAACCGGUCUCGUUCAGUAAGUAGCCUGAUGCGCGGUCUCCUCGUGACAAACGAAGCCAGCAACAUUAACUUCUCUAACAUUUAACUUUAUAACUACCCAGAUAACGUGUAUUUGUAGCCUAUGUGAUGUAGGCUACUUCCCCAUCAAUAAUGUGUGAAUUGCCAUGAACACAAUCAUCUAUAGGCCUACUAGAAUAAGGCUUGGUUAAUAACUACCCACACAGCAGUAGACUCCUAGGCGGAUCCGCCUUCAAGUCGCCAAACCCGCGUGACUGUCGCAUUCGUUUUGGUGCCGCACAGAGGAUCAGCUCUGCCUCCAGGCGGCCCCGUAAAUUCUACUGUCAAACAGCGGAUCCUGAGUGGACUCAUGUCGGAUCCGCGGGCGCGGACGCGCCUUUACUGUAACGGUUGAACAUGACUGUACACCAAGAGCCAAGAAGAGUCAUACUAGUGGAUAUUUUCUUUGCUGGGACACGGUUGCGCUGAACCCUCUCGACGUCAACUUUUAUCGGCUGGAUUCUAGCAUCUAACGUUACGAUUGCCUCUGUUGGGUUUGCUUGAUCAACCAUCGUUUCGGGGACUCUGAUGACAGUGAAGAGCCAGAAAAUGGUGACUUUGCAUCUCUGAGGUACCUUCCAACUCGCCUGGUAUAUCAGUUGAAGCCUCAAGCCCAAGCCAAUUGCACUGGCAAACUCCACCAUCUCGCCGAGAUC